UCNGGAAAGUCUGGAGUAAAAGGCUAUGGNUCAACCAUAGUGUGCUCUGGAAACUNUCUGACUUGAGUGCAGAAGGGGAGAGUGGAAUUCCAUGUGUAGCGGUGAAAUGCGUAGAUAUAUGGAGGAACACCAGUGGCGAAAGCGGCUCUCUGGUCUGUCACUGACGCUGAGGCUCGAAAGCGUGGGUAGCGAACAGGAUUAGAUACCNUGGUAGUCCACGCCGUAAACGAUGAGUGCUAGGUGUUAGGCCCUUUCCGGGGCUUAGUGCCGGAGCUAACGCAAUAAGCACUCCGCCUGGGGAGUACGACCGCAAGGUUGAAACUCAAAGGAAUUGACGGGGGCCCGCACAAGCGGUGGAGCAUGUGGUUUAAUUCGAAGCAACGCGAAGAACCUUACCAGGUCUUGACAUCCCGAUGCUAUUCUUAGAGAUAGGAAGUUACUUCGGUACAUCGGAGACAGGUGGUGCAUGGUUGUCGUCAGCUCGUGUCGUGAGAUGUUGGGUUAAGUCCCGCAACGAGCGCAACCCUUAUUGUUAGUUGCCACCAUUAAGUUGGGCACUCUGGCGAGACUGCCGGUAAUAAACCGGAGGAAGGUGGGGAUGACGUCAAAUCAUCAUGCCCCUUAUGACCUGGGCUACACACGUGCUACAAUGGUCGGUACAACGAGUUGCGAGCCGGUGACGGCAAGCUAAUCUCUGAAAGCCGAUCUCAGUUCGGAUUGGAGGCUGCAA
rnacentral:rRNA from 1 species